rnacentral:rRNA from 1 species
UAACGCGUGGGUGACGUACCUGUUGGUGGGGAAUAACUGCCCGAAAGGGUGGCUAAUUCCGCAUAAGUCCUUCGGUUCAAUCUGAAGGGGAAAGCUUCUUGUAAAAGAGAGGCGCCGAUGGAGCGGCCCGCGUCCGAUUAGCUGGUUGGUGGGGUAACGGCCUACCAAGGCGACGAUCGGUAGCUGGUCUUAGAGGAUGAUCAGCCAGACUGGGACUGAGACACGGCCCAG